rnacentral:rRNA from 1 species
UGGGGAAUUUUGGACAAUGGGCGAAAGCCUGAUCCAGCAAUGCCGCGUGUGUGAAGAAGGCCUUCGGGUUGUAAAGCACUUUUGUCCGGAAAGAAAUCCUUGGCUCUAAUACAGUCGGGGGAUGACGGUACCGGAAGAAUAAGCACCGGCUAACUACGUGCCAGCAGCCGCGGUAAUACGUAGGGUGCAAGCGUUAAUCGGAAUUACUGGGCGUAAAGCGUGCGCAGGCGGUUUGCUAAGACCGAUGUGAAAUCCCCGGGCUCAACCUGGGAACUGCAUUGGUGACUGGCAGGCUAGAGUAUGGCAGAGGGGGGUAGAAUUCCACGUGUAGCAGUGAAAUGCGUAGAGAUGUGGAGGAAUACCGAUGGCGAAGGCAGCCCCCUGGGCCAAUACUGACGCUCAUGCACGAAAGCGUGGGGAGCAAAACAGGAUUAGAUACCCUGGUAGUCCACGCCCUAAAANGAUGUCAACUAGUUGUGGGGAUUCAUUUCCUAGUAACGUAGCUAACGCGUGAAGUUGACCGCCUGGGGAGUACGGUCGCAAGAUUAAAACUCAAAUGAAUUGACGGGGUCAUAGCUG